AUCAAUAAUGCAAAUGAAGAUAAAGAAGAAACCAACAAGAAAAGUGGAAGCCCCGAGUAGGAAGCCAGCAACGCCGACAUAUUUAUUCUGGAGUGAAUAGGUACAAAUUGAAGUUAAAAUUACACUUCUCGACAAGACUUCCUGGCAAUCAAAUCGCUCUAUUCUAAUGGUUAAUAUCCUGUUUUUCAACACUGUAGGAAUGAGAAAGGCCGAUUACAGCGAAGGGAUCAAUGUCGCAGAAGACUGAAAGCUUCGCUUAGCUAUACAAGUCGAGAACUCAAGAGUUGCUAUAAAGUUGAGGAAUCUCUUUACUUGGUGGGCAUUCAUAGCCAAGCCAAAUACAAGUUGAAUCAAUUGCUGCGUGUGAUAGCAGUAGCACAUUUACGUAAUGUUACAAUGCAAAGCACUUUUUUCAGCCAGCUACGGAUAGGCGAAAGAUCGCAGUGUAUGCAAGUCCUUCCUCAUCAUGUGAACAAUAGUUAAUUUAAUCUACAGUCAGUUUUUCAAGACACCACCGAGGAUUCGCCAAUUGAUCUGUUUCUAUGUUAUUUUUUGCAGAAAUUCACAUUUGAAUAUCUUCUUUUUACAUUUUUUUUGGAACUCUGUGAUGUAUUUGGUCUCUGGAAUUCAAUUGAAAUACCUUCCUUCAUUCAUGAUUUAUUGCUUUCGAUUCUGUCAAUAUCUUCAAUUCAAUUCAAAUCCGAAUCCAAUCUAUCAAUUUAGGCUCUUGAAAUAUUAUGUUUGUAAUUGGAAAGCUAUUAUAUACAUACAUAAAAGGCUUUUCGAAGCUACCAAUUUUAUAAAAUAGUUUUUUUUUCAAAAAAAUGUUUCAUGAUUAUCAAAAUCUAUAAUAUCUGCCUAAAAUAUUUUCUUCCUUUACAAUAUUUUACUAUUUCCUAUAACGAAUUUGUAGUCUUAAGAUUAUUACAUCAAGUUCUUGUAAUAUAUUGAAAAAAUACAAAAAU